AUUGAGUCCAAAACGUAUUGAGGUCAUUCAGAGGAUUCCUACACCCACUACUCGGAAGGAGUUGCUCACCUUCCUCGGCAUGAUUAAUUACUGCCGCCAAUGGAUCCCUGAAUGCUCCCAUUAUAACUCAAUCCUAAGGGAGGCUGUACGUUCUGACAGCCCUGAAAAUGUCUGCUGGUCACCAGACAUGCUAGCUGCAUAUAUUGCCCUUACAGUUGUUAUUGUGCAAGCCCAGGCUUUAGGACUACCUGUGUAUUGUAAACCAUUUCAUUUGUAUGCUUGGGACAAUUGUAAAACCAUGGCCGCAGUCUGUGCACAAGAGCAAGGAGGCGGUAUGCGUCCCAUAGCAUUCUUUUCCAAAGUAGUUCGAGCUCCGGUAAAGGGUAUGCCGGCGUGUCUCAGAGCAUUGAUAGCAUGUGCAAUGGCUGUUGAAACUGCUACUACUAUCACACUAGGGCAUCCUACAAUACUUCAUGCCAGUCACCAGGUCACUCAGCUGAUGACAAAUAUCACCGUACAACACAUGACAGCCCAGCGCUUCAGUGGUUAUGAGAUUCUUUUU